rnacentral:rRNA from 1 species
GACGAACCGUGCGAACGUUAUUCGGAAUCACUGGGCUUAAAGGGUGCGUAGGCGGCGCGGAAAGUAGGGUGUGAAAUCCCUCGGCUCAACCGAGGAACUGCGCCCUAAACUACCGUGCUUGGGGGAGAUAGAGGUGAGCGGAACUUAGGGUGGAGCGGUGAAAUGCGUUGAUAUCCUAAGGAACACCGGUGGCGAAAGCGGCUCACUGGAUCUCUUCUGACGCUGAGGCACGAAAGCUAGGGUAGCGAACGGG